rnacentral:rRNA from 1 species
CGCACGGGUGCGUAACACGUAUGUAACCUACCUUUGUCAGGGGGAUAGCCUCUCGAAAGAGAGAUUAAGACCGCAUAACAUUACGGAACAGCAUUGUUUUGUAAUCAAAUAUUUAUAGGACAAAGAUGGGCAUGCGGGACAUUAGCUAGUUGGCGGGGUAACGGCCCACCAAGGCGACGAUGGCUAGGGGAGCUGAGAGGCUGGUCCCCCACACGGGCACUGAGAUACGGGCCCG